rnacentral:rRNA from 1 species
UACGUAGGUGGCAAGCGUUUGUCCGGAUUUACUGGGCGUAAAGAGCGCGCAGGCGGUCGGAUAAGUCGAAUGUGAAAGCCCCCGGCUCAACUGGGGAGGGUCAUUCGAUACUGUUCGACUCGAAGGCAGGAGAGGGAAGUGGAAUUCCCGGUGUAGUGGUGAAAUGCGUAGAUAUCGGGAGGAACACCAGUGGCGAAGGCGACUUCCUGGCCUGUUCUUGACGCUGAGGCGCGAAAGCUAGGGGAGCAAACGGG